UAAUUCCUGCCGGGUUCGACAACUUUAGUGCAUAUAACCCAACACACUUUUUUAAGGGAGCCGAAUUUUAGAGUAACGGGGAGCAGACCUCCCGCUUUUGCGGACGAAGGGAGCACGAAAUUACUCCGGCGGCACCCACCUGCUUUUUAGGCAGGUUAUAAUCCACUAAUCCCGGCUCGGCGGGGAAACA
rnacentral:other from 1 species